UGGGGAAUAUUGCACAAUGGGCGCAAGCCUGAUGCAGCCAUGCCGCGUGUAUGAAGAAGGCCUUCGGGUUGUAAAGUACUUUCAGCGGGGAGGAAGGGAGUAAAGUUAGUACCUUUGCUCAUUGACGUCACCCGCAGAAGAAGCACCGGCUAACUCCGUGCCAGCAGCCGCGGUAAUACGGAGGGUGCAAGCGUUAAUCGGAAUUACUGGGCGUAAAGCGCACGCAGGCGGUUUGUUAAGUCAGAUGUGAAAUCCCCGGGCUCAACCUGGGAACUGCAUCUGAUACUGGCAAGCUUGAGUCUCGUAGAGGGGGGUAGAAUUCCAGGUGUAGCGGUGAAAUGCGUAGAGAUCUGGAGGAAUACCGGUGGCGAAGGCGGCCCCCUGGACGAAGACUGACGCUCAGGUGCGAAAGCGUGGGGAGCAAACA
rnacentral:rRNA from 1 species